GAUGAACGCUGGCGGCGUGCCUAAUACAUGCAAGUCGAGCGAACAGACGAGGAGCUUGCUCCUUUGACGUUAGCGGCGGACGGGUGAGUGACACGUAGGUAACCUACCUAUAAGACUGGGAUAACUUCGGGAAACCGGAGCUAAUACCGGAUAAUAUUUCGAACCGCAUGGUUCGAUAGUGAAAGAUGGCUUUGCUAUCACUUAUAGAUGGACCUGCGCCGUAUUAGCUAGUUGGUAAGGUAACGGCUUACCAAGGCAACGAUACGUAGCCGACCUGAGAGGGUGAUCGGCCACACUGGAACUGAGACACGGUCCAGACUCCUACGGGAGGCAGCAGUAGGGAAUCUUCCGCAAUGGGCGAAAGCCUGACGGAGCAACGCCGCGUGAGUGAUGAAGGUCUUCUGAUCGUAAAACUCUGUUAUUAGGGAAGAACAAACGUGUAAGUAACUGUGCACGUCUUGACGGUACCUAAUCAGAAAGCCACGGCUAACUACGUG
rnacentral:rRNA from 1 species